rnacentral:rRNA from 1 species
UACGUAGGGUGCGAGCGUUAAUCGGAAUUACUGGGCGUAAAGCGUGCGCAGGCGGUGAUGUAAGACAGGGGUGAAAUCCCCGGGCUUAACCUGGGAACUGCAUUUGAGACUGCAUCGCUGGAGUGCGGCAGAGGGGGAUGGAAUUCCGCGUGUAGCAGUGAAAUGCGUAGAUAUGCGGAGGAACACCGAUGGCGAAGGCAAUCCCCUGGGCCUGCACUGACGCUCAUGCACGAAAGCGUGGGGAGCAAACAGG